rnacentral:rRNA from 1 species
UACGAAGGGGGCGAGCGUUGUUCGGAUUUACUGGGCGUAAAGGGCGCGUAGGCGGCCCUCCUUGUCGCGUGUGAAAGCCCCGGGCUCAACCUGGGAAUUGCAUUUGAGACUGCGUAGCUAGGGUGCGGAAGAGGGAAGCGGAAUUUCCGGUGUAGCGGUGAAAUGCGUAGAUAUCGGAAGGAACACCAGUGGCGAAAGCGGCUUCCUGGUCCAGCACCGACGUUCAGGCACGAAAGCGUGGGGAGCAAACAGG